rnacentral:rRNA from 1 species
AGCGAACGCUGGCGGCAGGCCUAACACAUGCAAGUCGAACGAACCUUUCGGGGUUAGUGGCUGACGGGUGAGUAACACGUUGGAACGUGCCUUUAGGUUCUGAAUUACUCAUGGGAACUUGUCCUAAUACCUAAUUUUCCUUUCGGGGGAAAGAUUAAUCUCGUUUAGAGCGGCCUGCGUCUGUUUAGCUUGUUGGUUGAGGUAAUGGAUUACCCAGGCGACGAUCAGUAUCUGGUCUGAGAGGAUGAUCAGCCACAUUGGGACAGAGACAAGACCCAAACGGCUAGGGGAAGCAGCGGUGGGGAAACUAGCGGAAUGGGCGAAAGCCAGACGCAGCCAGGCCGCGUGAAUGAUGAAGGUCUUAGGAUUGUAAAAUUCUUUCGCCGGGGACGAUAAUGACGGUACCCGGAGAAGAAGCACCGGCUAACUUCGUG